GCGUUGGUGGUUCAGUGGUAGAAUUCUCAUCUUCCAUGCUGGAGAUCUGGGCUUGAUCCCCGGCCAAUGCA
rnacentral:tRNA from 1 species